rnacentral:lncRNA from 1 species
UAUCAAAGCCCUUGUGGAUGAAGAUACAACAAGUUUUGGGAGGCUUUGGCAUUUCUAUACAGUGCUGCUCCCUGAAUGAAGCAAAGCAAGCUGGAGGAAAACUAGCAAAGAUGCAAAAAGAGUACAGGUAGCACAGGAUUUUAUUCUGCUCCACAAAGCUGAGAUGAGGAUCUGGAGUGAACAGGAUCAUUAUGGUUCCUGAACUUGUCCAUUUGUGGAGAAUUCAGAUGGAAAAAGACAAACAAAGAUACAAAGAAAAGAAAGGAAGAACUCCUUUUUUGAUAUCCGUACAUUUCCCACCAUUCAUACUAAUGCCAAGAGACUGAAAGAGAGAACAGAACACUAAAAAAAAAUAUAUAGUUCCCUAUCUUCUUGAGAACAAGAGUGUAUACAGAAUGAAACUGAUAACACAAGAGUGUAUACAGAAUGAAACCAAUUUGAUGGAAUACAGUUUUGGACAGAAGAAAAGAUUAAUUGGUGUCCUAAAGAAGACUUCUGAAAGAUGAAUGGUCUUCGUACAGUAAAAGUCCAUGGAUAAAAAGAGUAAGAGGGACAAUUCCAGUCAUAAAGAUUUGUCUGUAUUCUAUUUGAAAGCAGAAAAAUUGGAUGGUCAACAGAAGCAGAUAUCUUGGGCAUAAAUGCCAAUAACACAGCCUUUGCCUGGUACUCUCUCACUCCACUGACUACUCCCUCCAAAAGCUCCAAAAUAACGUCCAAUUUACUUUGGCAUUGGGGGAAGAUGUUGGAUUUGUUCUUAAAAGAUAUUGUAAGGUUUCAUCUUCACCAUUUUUCGAACCCAGUCCGACUACCCUGCCUUUGUGUAAGAAUUUGAGUUGGCAAAUUGAAAUCUGCCUAACUAUCCCAAAAGGAGAAAGCUAGUGGGGAUUCAUAUCAGCCCCACUUGCUGUGGAAUUUCCCUCUUCUCAAAGUCUGAAUUCACCAACAUGCUUGUUUCACAGCAAGCUUGAUAUGACUCAGUAGUGUGCUCUGACAGCCAAAAGGGCAAACCACAUUUUGGGGUGCAUUAAACAAACUAUAGCCAAUCAGUCAAAAGAGGUAAUUCUCCCACUCUCUAUUCAGUGUUGUUGAAGCUUCAGAAAAUUUGUUUUAAAAAGUGGCAAAAAUUAAUUGUACUUCUAACAAGAUGUUUGACAAAACAUGAGGGUUCUGUCCUAAAUGCACUUCAUCCAGAAAAGAUUUAAUUAAUAAGACAUUAGGUAGGUGCAGUUAAUUACCUGUCUUUCAGUAUUGAAGGCAAACGUGAAUUUGUUUUGAACAUGUAUAUAUAUGUGGGUGGGUGCAUAGAUAUAUCUAUACAUGUAUAUAUGUAUGUAUAUGAAGUAUGUACUUUAAAUGUUCCUUCCCUAAAUUGUUCCUAGUCUCAGUCUUAUUAAUGUAUUAAAAUAAAAAUAAACUUUAGACCA